UGUUACUUUUAUACUGUACAAGACACAUGAAAUAAUAAAUAAUUUUGUGUAAAAUAAAAUAAUCAGACAGAAACAUAAUCCCACACAACAUUCCAAUUUGACUAUGGUUGGUUAAGCUAAAAUAGACUUGGCUUGUUGCCCACUCAAAUUCAAUUUAUUUUGUUAUAACCUUAAACCAGACUAGAAUAGAAUAUAUUGAGUUUUUCACAGGAAAACAAGAGAAAAAACAACUAAACCUGCUUCUAUGACCUUAAAUCUCACACAAGUUCUGUAGACAUCCUUUUUGGGAUAUAUUAGGGGGAAGUUCACUAUAGUUAUCAUUGAUUCAUUCACUCUGUAAU
rnacentral:lncRNA from 1 species